AGAUACAGAACUAUACAGUCCGAUAAAUUUCUUAUUAUUUGGGUGACAUAAAAAUCUAAACAACAUCGUGAAGAAACGGAGCUCGAGACGCUCUUAAAUUCCUUCUCUUCAGUUUAAGCUCUUUUCCCUCUAGGGCACUUUCAAGCUCUUGUCUCUCGGUCUGAUCAAUGGCGAAGUGGAUAGCGCUUGGUUCGAUCUCGUGCGUGUUGAUUCGUGGUGAUUGCGUAGGGCUGUGCUGAUUGACCGGUAUGCUACACUGGUUCAUACGUUCUCUUUAUGCUAAUUUGGGCAAACGGCUUGGAAUUUUAUCUACUAAUUGCAGUUUCCAUUGCGAAUUGUAAGAGUGAAAUGGUCUCUUCAUGUCAGAUAAGAGACCAUUGCAAGUUGUAUUUGAGCUUCUCCAACAUUGAUAGGAAAUGCAGAUAAAUAAGUAUGCCUCCUCUGGUGGACAAGAUUUGAUUGAGAAACACAGGCAGUUAGGAGCAAACUUUGAGAGAUAUUAUCCAGGUUGACAUACCUGUCAAGUACCCCAGUUUUUUCCUAGACGAUGAUGUGGAACUGGAACAUAUAAAGAAGGUGACUGUUUUUGUGGAGGUGGAUUAAUUCAUUAAAAUUCUUAAGUCUCUUCAAGAUUUUGCGGGAUAACUAAAGUCAAAGGCACUUAAUAGUACUAAAUUUUGAAAGAUAAUUUAUGUCAAAGGAUUGGAGAAAAAGAUUGAAGCGAGGAGAAACAUCACAGAGACACCUCCACUGCCAAAAAAGAGGAUCAGCCACUUAACCUGCUGUAUCCACACCUCCAGAGGCGAGAAAUUUUGUGUACAGGACUACUUGUUCUUGCCAUGGCCAAGCUUGCGCCUCAACCAUCAGAGCAGUGAUUUUGAAGAACUCCAGCAAUUUCAGAAACGAAGUGCCCCAGAUUAGCAUGUCAUUGCUCAACGGCUGAUAGAAAUCCCAGGCGGGUUGUGCCAGGACAAGAAAAGUUUUCUCUUCUGGUCCUUUUUUCUGACCACGGCAUUGUAAUGCCCUGUUUUUGUGAUAUCAGUAUGAAUUUCUUUAACCACCAUGUGCCAUUUUACAUAUAUUUACAGAAUAAAUAAAAUAAAAUAAAACAAUAGGUUACCUGUGAAUAUGAUUCUUCGUUGUUUAUGAUGCAUUUUUUACUGACAGUGCUCAAUAAACAGCACUGAAAUUUUUUUACUACAGCCUUAUCUGUGAUGGAUGUUUAUCUACAAUCUGAUUUAGCACUGAUUUUGCUUUGUGGCCUUUUGGUAGUACCGGACUCCAGCAAAGCUUUCGUUGUUAAUUUUAUGCAGUGUAUUCUCUGUAAUCACCACCAUAUAUGAACUCUCCCAGUGUUUUUCUGUACAGAUUUUUACAACCCCUCGACGGCAAGAUUCAAAUAUAAAAAAAAAAGACACUUUAUUCCUUGUGUUCCUUCAUGUUUCUUUUGUUCCUAAAAGUAUCUGGUUUCAUGCGGAAAGAAUUGCCAAGAUAAAACCAGGUCCUUUGCUGCAAGAUCUGCAAGAAGGCCUAAAAUUUUUCAUUAAUUUGGAUGUCAGACAUGUUAAAAGGAUGAGCACAACUAAAGCAUCAGUCACCAGUCUCAGGAUAUUCAUAAUCUUGCUUUCCUUUUGUACAAAUGAAACAGAAAUAAUCCAUUUUAAAUGCAAAACCUGAAGAAAAAAAAGUUGCAGAAAUAGCAAGAGUUUUUAACAGAAGGAUUAUUCAAAUUCAAACCUGCACCAUUGCCCAUGUGGACCUUAUCAUUUCCAAAACAUGGGAGUGCUAAUGUGAAGAUUAGGAAGAUCUGGUGUUCGAUGAUUGGUUUCACCCGAUUUGCGAAACCAAUUUUUAUCCAUAGCUGUCUUUGGAGUAGUUAACGGGGAGGUUAACAUAACACCACUGCGUGGAGAAGAUGUUGCACCAUGAAUUAGUUGCCGAAACGACUGAUGAAACGUAUAAUAGCUCUGAACAACCACGGUUGUUCUGACUUCUACCACCAUGACCACAAUUAUUAUUAGAGAAGUCUCGAAAUGUCUGUUGAGAAGCAGUUUGGGUGGUGGUAGUAGUACUAGUAGUAGUAGUAAUAUUGACUAAAUCUGGAAGAGAAUCUGAUGCAAUAAGUUGUUGCUUUUCCAGCAUACUUUCACGAGAAAGCAGUAAUGCUGGAACACAUUGAAGUUUUACAUGAUUGAUCUGCAGAAAUGACCGUCAUAACAAAUGGAUUAUACUCUGUGCCUAAUCCACCCAAAAUGAUGUUAAGUACAUGAUCUGUUUCUGAGACAAAGUUACCAGAAACAGCCAAAGUAUCUCCCAAGCUUUUAAUUUUUGAUUAGAUAGUCAGUGCUAGAUAAGGAUCCUUUUUGGAUCGUCUUGCCAUUUCUCAUUUCUGAUCAGUUUCUUGCUACAUAUAUCAAUAGCAUCUUGUGUUAAUUUUUUUUUUUUUAAUUAAUUUAUUUAUUUUUCCUUCCCAAAGCUUGGUAACUGGCUCUUUUUAGUACAAUAUUAUUAUCAUUUCUUAAUAAGAAAAUUAUGAGAGAAGGCUUCACAAUGGUGACUUAGAAAUGUACAUUCUCAGCAAUUUUUGCAAGGUUUUCACUAAUCUAAGAUGUGGAUUAAAUUCGUUAUUAUUGAAACUAAAACGUGAAUUGAUUGAUAGAUUUGGGAAGAGAUUGUAGUGAAUGCACUUGGGUCUUAUCAUCAAGGUCAAGCUCUAGGAUCUCGAGUUCAUUGAGAUAAGCUAUCAAUAUAAUCACAUGAACUCUCACAGGUGUUCCUUCAGCCAUCUUAACAUAAGAAUCUAUGUGCGGCUUCCAGAUAUUUUCUACACGUGAUGUUGGUGCCAAAAUUGUUGAGCACGAGGAAGGGCAUGUCAAAUUACACCAGGGGUUAGUCAGUAGUUUUCAUCCGGAUCAUCAUACCAGGGGAAGAUCACGCAUAAGUUGGGGAUAGUGCUAUUGGGUUUCCUCAAAGACAUGUACUAGCAGAUUAAUUAAAUCAGGGGUCAUUAGGGGGAAAAAACAAAAAAAUAAAAUAAAAUGACAUAUCAGUAGUGUACAAAACUCAGAAUCUGAAAAUUUCCUCCCAGAUGCAGAUUGACCGUAGUUGUUUGAUUUUUCAGUUUCCUAUCAGU